UACGGAGGGUGCAAGCGUUAAUCGGAAUUACUGGGCGUAAAGCGCGCGUAGGUGGUUUGUCGAGUUGGAGGUGAAGUCCCCGGGCUCAACCUGGGAACUGCCUCCAAAACUGACUGACUUGAGUACGGUAGAGGGUGGUGGAAUUUCCUGUGUAGCGGUGAAAUGCGUAGAUAUAGGAAGGAACACCAGUGGCGAAGGCGACCACCUGGACUGAUACUGACACUGGGGUGCGAAAGCGUGGGGAGCAAACAGG
rnacentral:rRNA from 1 species